rnacentral:rRNA from 1 species
GACGAACGCUGGCGGCGUGCCUAAUACAUGCAAGUUGAGCGCUGAAGGUUGGUACUUGUACCAACUGGAUGAGCAGCGAACGGGUGAGUAACGCGUGGGGAAUCUGCCUCUGAGCGGGGGACAACAUUUGGAAACGAAUGCUAAUACCGCAUAAAAACUUUAAACACAAGUUUUAAGUUUGAAAGAUGCAAUUGCAUCACUCAAAGAUGAUCCCGCGUUGUAUUAGCUAGUUGGUGAGGUAAAGGCUCACCAAGGCGAUGAUACAUAGCCGACCUGAGAGGGUGAUCGGCCACAUUGGGACUGAGACACGGCCCAAACUCCUACGGGAGGCAGCAGUAGGGAAUCUUCGGCAAUGGACGAAAGUCUGACCGAGCAACGCCGCGUGAGUGAAGAGGGUUGUCGGAUCGUAAAACUCUGUUGGUAGAGAAGAACGUUGGUGAGAGUGGAAAGCUCAUCAAGUGACGGUAACUACCCAGAAAGGGACGGCUAACUACGUG